rnacentral:tRNA from 1 species
UCAGGGUUCGUCUAAUGGUAGGACAGCGGCCUUUGACGCCGCGAACCGUGGUUCGAGUCCACGACCCUGAACCA